CCUACGGGAGGCAGCAGUGGGGAAUCUUGCGCAAUGGGCGAAAGCCUGACGCAGCAACGCCGCGUGCGGGAAGAAGGCUUUCGGGCUGUAAACCGCUUUCAGCAGGAACGAAAAUGACGGUACCUGCAGAAGAAGGAGCGGCCAACUAUGUGCCAGCAGCCGCGGUGAUACAUAGGCUUCAAGCGUUGUCCGGAUUUAUUGGGCGUAAAGAGUUCGUAGGCGGUCGAGUAAGUCGGGUGUGAAAAUUCUGGGCUCAACCCAGAGACGCCACCCGAUACUGCUUGACUUGAGUUCGAUAGGGGAGUGGGGAAUUCCUAGUGUAGCGGUGAAAUGCGCAGAUAUUAGGAAGAACACCGGUGGCGAAGGCGCCACUCUGGAUCGAUACUGACGCUGAGGAACGAAAGCAUGGGUAGCAAACAGGAUUAGAUACCCUGGUAGUCCAUGCCGUAAACGGUGGGCACUAGGUGUGGGUUUCUAUUAACGAAAUCCGCGCCGUCGCUAACGCAUUAAGUGCCCCGCCUGGGGAGUACGGUCGCAAGCUAAAACUUAAGGAAUUGACGG
rnacentral:rRNA from 1 species